rnacentral:rRNA from 1 species
AUUGCAUAUCAAUAAGCGGAGGAAAAGAAACCAACCGGGAUUGCCUCAGUAACGGCGAGUGAAGCGGCAAGAGCUCAAAUUUGAAAGCUGGCCCCUCCGGGGUCCGCGUUGUAAUUUGCAGAGGAUGCUUUGGGUGCGGCCCCCGUCUAAGUGCCCUGGAACGGGCCGUCAGAGAGGGUGAGAAUCCCGUCUUGGGCGGGGUGUCCGUGCCCGUGUAAAGCUCCUUCGACGAGUCGAGUUGUUUUGCAGCUCUAAAUGGGUGGUAAAUUUCAUCUAAAGCUAAAUACUGGCCGGAGACCGAUAGCGCACAAGUAGAGCGAAAGAUGAAAAGCACUUUGAAAAGAGAGUUAAACAGCACGUGAAAUUGUUGAAAGGGAAGCGCUUGGACUCGCCCUCGGGGUUCAGCCGGCACUCGUGCCGGUGUACCGGGGGCGGGCCAGCGUCAGCUUGGGCGGCCGGGGCCUCCGGAAUGUAGUGCCCCCCGGGGCACCUUAUAGCCGGAGGUGGGCCAGCCUGGGCUGAGGAACGCGCUUGCUGGCAUAAUGGUCGCAAACGACCCGUCUUGAAACACGGACCAAU